AAGAAAUAAACACGUAUACACGUCUAAUGGUACUUGUUCGAUGGAUAGCUUGAUAAAUAGGUCAUGUUCCAUGCCCCACAUUGGGUCUAAUAUCUUGGCAAUCCCACCAGAUGCUUUCCCGCAUCACCAGCAAAUGUCUGACACUGCAGGUUAUAUUCUGUUUAGUUUGCUAGAUGUGAGGUACCACCUGUAAACCAGUUUCUUAUGUGCCUCUAUGUGCGAGUAGCAACGUGUGAGACCUUUGAGUGCAUUUAAGGAGGAGAUCCACUCCUGCUCUGUUAAUACUCGUCCCCCUUCUCCAACAUACCCCGCACUGAAGGGGAAUGUGGUUUGCGAGGUCAAGUCAGACAUAGCCUUGUAACACAAUGACAUGUAUUUGGGUUGAUUAGGGCUUUUCCUACAUCUGUCAUAUACUAGCUGCAGGUUUGAUAAUGCUUUUCAUCUGCAGGUAUUGGAAGAUAAAAGAGUUGGGUAACGGAUAUUGCUUUUGAUGAUAGUCACGUACAAGGAUCAGUAGCGCUGGUAUUGAGGAACUUGGGUUGCUGAGUGUAAGCAGAAUGUCAUCAGCGAACAUGGAGAGGCAAAAUCCCUUAUCUACUUUUAUGCCUGUAAUGUCAGGGUGGUCUCUGAUCUUGUAUGCCAGGGGUUUGAGGGAAAGGAUAAACAACAGAGGGGAUAGUGGGCAGCCCUGUCUAGAGCCAUUUGUUAUGGAGAAUGGGGCAGAGAGGAAUCCUGCAUUUGCUACUUGUGCUUUUGGCGAGUUAUAUAGGGGCAGCACUCCAGAAAUGAAUGGUUUGGGAAAGCCAAACGUAUGGAGCACUUGUUCCAUGUAGAUACAAUUAAGUCUGUCAAACACCUUCUCCACAUCCAGUGCUAGUAGGAGGCCCUCGCCAUGCACGACUGUAUGUGGUGUAGGAUGUUCAAAAUGUUUCUGGUGUUGUCAGAGCCUUGUCUGCCUUGCACAAAGCCAGACUGAUCCAUGUGUAUUAGUCAAGAGAUUGUUAGUUAGAUGGUUUGCUAAUAAUUUAGUUUGAGGAGUGAGAUAGGGCGGAAGUUCUGGCAGGCAGUGGGUGGUUUUCCUGGUUUGGGCAGCAUAGAGAUAUGGGCCAUUAACAUGUCGGUAGGAAGUGCCCCAGUUUGGUAACAUCGGUUGAAGAAAUCUGUUAGAUGGGGUGAGAGGGCAGACGCAAAUGUUGGUAGUAAAGAUUGGAGUAGCCAUCAGGACCCAGAGAUUUGUGGGCUGGGAGUGCUUUGAUGGCCCCUCAAUCUCCACUUGGCUGAAAGGUGUUGUGAGAUGGUCAAGUUCCUCGGGAAGCAGCAUGGGUAGUGCUACUGCAUCUAGGAACUGUUGUAUGGCCUCUAUCUGCGGAGCUGGUGUGUUGGGAUCGUCUUU